GGACCCACCUGAUUCCAUGCCGAACUCAGAAGUGAAACACAAUAGCGCCGAUGGUAGUGUGGGGCUUCCCCAUGUGAGAGUAGGACAUCGCCAGGC
rnacentral:rRNA from 1 species